rnacentral:piRNA from 1 species
CACCUGGAAAGGGGAACUGCCUAUGGAU